rnacentral:rRNA from 1 species
AGAGUUUGAUCCUGGCUCAGAUUGAACGCUGGCGGCAGGCCUAACACAUGCAAGUCGAGCGGAUGAGUGGAGCUUGCUCCAUGAUUCAGCGGCGGACGGGUGAGUAAUGCCUAGGAAUCUGCCUGGUAGUGGGGGACAACGUUUCGAAAGGAACGCUAAUACCGCAUACGUCCUACGGGAGAAAGCAGGGGACCUUCGGGCCUUGCGCUAUCAGAUGAGCCUAGGUCGGAUUAGCUAGUUGGUGAGGUAAAGGCUCACCAAGGCGACGAUCCGUAACUGGUCUGAGAGGAUGAUCAGUCACACUGGAACUGAGACACGGUCCAGACUCCUACGGGAGGCAGCAGUGGGGAAUAUUGGACAAUGGGCGAAAGCCUGAUCCAGCCAUGCCGCGUGUGUGAAGAAGGUCUUCGGAUUGUAAAGCACUUUAAGUUGGGAGGAAGGGCAGUAAGUUAAUACCUUGCUGUUUUGACGUUACCGGCAGAAUAAGCACCGGCUAACUUCGUGCCAGCAGCCGCGGUAAUACGAAGGGUGCAAGCGUUAAUCGGAAUUACUGGGCGUAAAGCGCGCGUAGGUGGUUCGUUAAGUUAGAUGUGAAAGCCCCGGGCUCAACCUGGGAACUGCAUCCAAAACUGGCGAGCUAGAGUAUGGCAGAGGGUGGUGGAAUUUCCUGUGUAGCGGUGAAAUGCGUAGAUAUAGGAAGGAACACCAGUGGCGAAGGCGACCACCUGGGCUAAUACUGACACUGAGGUGCGAAAGCGUGGGGAGCAAA